CGGGGGGGGUGCUUACCAUGCAGUCGACGCUGAAGCACCAGCUUGCUGGUGUGGAUGAGUGGCGAACGGGUGAGUAAUACGUGAGUAACCUGCCCUUGACUCUGGGAUAAGCCCGGGAAACUGGGUCUAAUACUGGAUGCUACACGUCACCGCAUGGUGGUGUGUGGAAAGGGUUUACUGGUCUUGGAUGGGCUCACGGCCUAUCAGCUUGUUGGUGAGGUAAUGGCUCACCAAGGCGACGACGGGUAGCCGGCCUGAGAGGGUGACCGGCCACACUGGGACUGAGACACGGCCCAGACUCCUACGGGAGGCAGCAGUGGGGAAUAUUGCACAAUGGGCGAAAGCCUGAUGCAGCGACGCCGCGUGAGGGAUGACGGCCUUCGGGUUGUAAACCUCUUUCAGCAGGGAAGAAGCCACAAGUGACGGUACCUGCAGAAGAAGCGCCGGCUAACUACGUGCCAGCAGCCGCGGUAAUACGUAGGGCGCAAGCGUUGUCCGGAAUUAUUGGGCGUAAAGAGCUCGUAGGCGGUUUGUCGCGUCUGCUGUGAAAGCCCGGGGCUUAACCCCGGGUGUGCAGUGGGUACGGGCAGACUAGAGUGCAGUAGGGGAGACUGGAAUUCCUGGUGUAGCGGUGGAAUGCGCAGAUAUCAGGAGGAACACCGAUGGCGAAGGCAGGUCUCUGGGCUGUUACUGACGCUGAGGAGCGAAAGCAUGGGGAGCGAACAGGAUUAGAUACCCUGGUAGUCCAUGCCGUAAACGUUGGGCACUAGGUGUGGGGGACAUUCCACGUUUUCCGCGCCGUAGCUAACGCAUUAAGUGCCCCGCCUGGGGAGUACGGCCGCAAGGCUAAAACUCAAUGGAAAAUUGACGGAGUA
rnacentral:rRNA from 1 species